CCCACACUACAGGCCAGCACUGUGGGCUCUCAGUUUAUUGGGAAAUGGAAAUAAGAGGGAAGGACAAAAGUCCACUGGGAAGCAGACUGGACAGAAAGGAACUCUGAGCAGCUAAACUCUGACUAAUCCCAGGGUAUACCUGCGUUUUCUCUUCACCAGACAAACUGCGGCCUGGACCAGCUGGUGAAACAUAAUUCUGAAUCCUGCCCACAGCCUUCGGUGGUUUUGGAUGAAAGGCCAGCGCCUUGGGAGCCCUGCGUUUGAUUUCAAGUUUUAAGGCCGGCACUGGUGGAGCAAUGAAUGGUGAAAGCUCUCCCCUUAAAGGAGCACAGUUGCCUUUAGGUGACUGCUAACUCAGGCUUUUGCUGAGGACAGUGUUUACUUUGUGAGCUUAAUGACAGGGCUGGCUUUCUGGGAGUGUUGCAAUGAAACAGACUCAGACACAGGCCAUCAUGGGCCUCCUCCCUAGCAAGGCCGCCAC
rnacentral:lncRNA from 1 species